AACCAGUGAUGGUGGGUGAGACUUGUGUGAUUUUUGCCAACUUGCCACUUUGUGAAGGAUGCAAAAAUAUUCAUUUCCUGAAGAUCCGCACAAUCAAGGACUCAGCACAUCAAGGCAGGAUGAAAGCAAGAAUUUUCUUCUGAAAACUUGGGUUCUCAGAAACAACAACAGAAGGA